rnacentral:tRNA from 1 species
CAGGGAGACAAAAACUGAUUAUUGAUGUCUGAAUAUUUAAUUUUAGGCCGUAAUCCUGUCACCUUAGGUCGAUCGGUACCUCAGGUUAAUUUAUUUAAUUUCAGUUCCUAAACUUGUCUAGGUCACACCCAACAAACUUUCUCCUGGGCUAUUAGCUCAGGCGGUUAGAGCGCACCCCUGAUAAGGGUGAGGUCCCUGGUUCAAGUCCAGGAUGGCCCAUUCGUUGUUGGGGGUAUAGCUCAGUUGGUAGAGCGCCUGCUUUGCAAGCAGGAUGUCAGCGGUUCGAGUCCGCUUACCUCCACUGAUCAACUACCUGAUAACUCAAUGGAGAUUGUCAUUUGUUCAAAGUGACUUAGAUAUUGUUCAUGCUUAUGAACCUAGCUUCCUAUCAUCCGCUUAUUAUUAGAGGUUGAUAAGACGCUGGGCUCACUGAUAGAAAUAUCAGUUUGAUUCAGCAGAACCUUGACAACUGCAUAGAAAAAAGUCUGGAAAGAAAGCAUCUAAAUAGAUGUAUAGAACCUUUUAAUUAUUUAAUAGUUUCUAUAUUUAAUUCUUGAGUUAGAGCAAAAAUUCUAUUAAUCAUUCAAUUUAUAUAAAUUGAAUUGCUAAUUCUUAUUAGAUAAUUAAUAGAAAUUAAAU